rnacentral:rRNA from 1 species
GCAAGUCGAACGGUAACAUGAGAGCUUGCUCUUGAUGACGAGUGGCGCACGGGUGCGUAAAGCGUAUGCAACCUACCCUUAACUGGAGGAUAGCCCGGAGAAAUUUGGAUUAAUACUCCAUAACAAAAAGAAUUCGCAUGUUUUCUUUUUUAAAGUUUCGAUGGUUAAGGAUGGGCAUGCGUAACAUUAGCUAGUUGGUAAGGUAAUGGCUUACCAAGGCUACGAUGUUUAGGGGGUUUGAGAGGAUGAGC